rnacentral:tRNA from 1 species
CCGGCACAUCGAUCGGCACCUGCACGGUGUUGCCGGAACCGACGCCGGGCGAACCGCUGGUGUGUCCGCCCGCGUGCGAGCCGCCGGAGCCGGC